UGUGUGUGAAAGUGUAGAAAAAUUUAGAGUUGACUGCCUUGAGGAGGAUAUGUGUACGUAGGCAACAAAUCAACAUCUCACAAACAGUUCCCGCUCUUCUUCAGUAUGUCAUGGCUGUGCUCUCUAUGCAAUGCAAAUCUCUGCCCACAUUAAAGCCCAGACCCAAGCACAAUCUCAAUUGCCACAAAGGAUUCAGAUCUCAUGGCGUAUUUACUCUUUAGGACAUCUUGAAGAUAACUGUAACACUAGGGUUUGUAGUUUGAGGACUCUAGGUUCUGAGAACAGAACCUAAGGUCUUGAUUGAGAAGCAGAUUAAUAAGAAAGCAAGAUCGGCCACAAGGAGGGGUAUUCAAAAAAAAAAUGUUGCUGUAAGGAUGAUGAAAAGGAAUUGGCUGCAAAGGAUGAAGAUGGUAGGAAGGUUGUUGGUGGUGGUAGUAAGUCCAAGGGAGAGAAAUCUGCAGCAAAAAAGAGUAAGUUGGAAAGUGGGGAUGAAGUUAGAAAGGGUGAUAAUGCUCCAUCCAGGGAGAAGUCUAAGAUUCCAAUGAAGCUAAAGAGGGGUGCUGAUGGGGGAAUGGGACAGGGUUUCUUGUCAGGGACAGAGAGAAGUUCACUGAGGCUGCAGCCAAGGAAGGAUGUUCCUAAGUUCCAGAAGGUAGAUUUGGCUGAGAAUGGUAUUAAAAGGAUUGUUGGUGAGAAAGUCAAUUGUCAGGUUCAAGAAGAUGGUUCGUUGGCCAAGGUUAGUCAUUUGAUAAUAGCAAAAGGUGUCAUAAGAUUCAGUUUCGAGAUGACGAGAAAGAAGAUUUGUAUUGGGGCAAUAGAGGUUUGACCUUUAAUUGAUUCCAGGUGAUUGUUUCACUCUGAGAACUAAACCCAAGUAUAAGAAGAAAGCCAAGGAUCAGGAUGGUGGUAAGUUUAGUGCAGAAACAUUGAAAUCAGAAGACUCUGUUGAGGAGGGUGAUGCAGAACAGUUGAAAAAGGUCUUCGGAGAUGAAAUAAGAAAUGCUCAGAGGGAUGAAAAGUUGUAUUCUGAACAGAGGAGGAAAGCUAACGACGUUAAGAAGGAUUGCCAGGAUUUUCAAGGAUAAAAGGAGAUUGAAGCCAUUUGGGAUACACUUCUUUGCCUACCUCUGGGUUUCCAUUACUGAUGCCUUCAAGUCACACUUUUGAGUUCUUCUUGCUGCAAUGAAACUUACAGUUCCAAGAGAACAAUUGGGAGUGGAGACACCUCCUAUGGGUUAUGUGAAGUUAAAAUUUUGAUGAAUGUUCAUCAGGCAAUCCAAAAUAGGUAGGAAUUUGGUUAUAUAAAGUUAAAACUUUUGGUGGAUGUUCAUUAGGUAACCUGGGACAGCCAGGAAACUGUAGAGCCCUUGGAGAUCAUACAUUUGGAAAAGGUUCCAAUAGAUUUUGCUGUAGAGCCAAAGCUUUUGUUAUGAACCAAAUUCUUGAGUCUCUUGAAUCUUUGUAUUCAGGACUAUUCUAUUAUCAUAGCAUGGGUAGCUAACAAGGAAAGAGGUCCAAGAAAAUAUGAUGAGUGGUUUCACCAA